rnacentral:misc_RNA from 1 species
AUAGCUGCUAGUUUGGAUCUGGAGCUGUAAAACAUGUCGCAUGUGUAUGUAUUAAGAACUAUUGUUCAGAAGUAGAAAAUGAAGAAAAUUAUUUAUCUGGAUUCCUACCAAUUCCUGACUAAAAAUCUAAAAUUGAAUUGGAGAUUAGAUGAGGAUUCCUACUAAUUAUUUAUCUGGAUUCCUACAAAUUCCAGACUACCAAUUCCAAGUACUUGGAUAAACAAUUCUCGGACUGAUUAAAUCUGCUUUUUCCAAUAAGGAAGAAAAAAAAGGAAAAGAAUG